AAGGUUUUAAGUUAAAAAAACUAUUAGCCUUCAAAGCUAAAAAUAAAAUUUAUUUUAAACCUUA
rnacentral:tRNA from 1 species